rnacentral:rRNA from 1 species
UACGGAGGGAGCUAGCGUUAUUCGGAAUUACUGGGCGUAAAGCGCACGUAGGCGGCUUUGUAAGUCAGAGGUGAAAGCCUGGAGCUCAACUCCAGAACUGCCUUUGAGACUGCAUCGCUUGAAUCCAGGAGAGGUGAGUGGAAUUCCGAGUGUAGAGGUGAAAUUCGUAGAUAUUCGGAAGAACACCAGUGGCGAAGGCGACUCACUGGACAUGUAUUGACGCUGAGGUGCGAAAGCGUGGGGAGCAAACAGG